rnacentral:rRNA from 1 species
AUUGAACGCUGGCGGCAUGCCUUACACAUGCAAGUCGAACGGUAACAGGUCUUCGGAUGCUGACGAGUGGCGAACGGGUGAGUAAUACAUCGGAACGUGCCCGAUCGUGGGGGAUAACGCAGCGAAAGCUGUGCUAAUACCGCAUACGAUCUACGGAUGAAAGCGGGGGAUCGCAAGACCUCGCGCGGACGGAGCGGCCGAUGGCAGAUUAGGUAGUUGGUGGGAUAAAAGCUUACCAAGCCGACGAUCUGUAGCUGGUCUGAGAGGACGACCAGCCACACUGGGACUGAGACACGGCCCAGACUCCUACGGGAGGCAGCAGUGGGGAAUUUUGGACAAUGGGCGCAAGCCUGAUCCAGCCAUGCCGCGUGCAGGAUGAAGGCCUUCGGUUGUAAACUGCUUUGUACGGAACGAAAAAGACUCUCUCUAAUACAGGGGUGAAUGACGGUACCGUAAGAAUAAGCACCGGCUAACUACGUGCCAGCAGCCGCGGU